GACGAACGCUGGCGGCGUGCUUAACACAUGCAAGUCGAACGAUGAACCAGGGCUUGCCCUGGGGAUUAGUGGCGAACGGGUGAGUAACACGUGGGCAACCUGCCCCAGACACCGGGAUAACCCCUCGAAAGAGUGGCUAAUACCGGAUACGACCACUUUGGGCAUCCAACGGUGGUGGAAAGGAUUCUGGUCUGGGAUGGGCCCGCGGCCUAUCAGCUUGUUGGUGGGGUAAUGGCCUACCACGGCGACGACGGGUAGCCGGCCUGAGAGGGCGACGUGCCACACUGGGACUGAGACACGGCCCGGACUCCUUCGGGAGGCAGGAGUGGGGAAUAUUGCGCAAUGGGCGAAAGCCUGACGCAGCGACGCCGCGUGAGGGACGAAGGUCUUCGGAUUGUAAACCUCUUUCAGCAGGGACGAAGCGAAAGUGACUGUACCUGCAGAAGAAGCACCGGCUAACUACGUGCCAGCCGCCGCGGUAACAC
rnacentral:rRNA from 1 species